CCCUUAGAUGUUCUGGGCCGCACGCGCGCUACACUGACGAAUGCAACGAGCUUAUAACCUUGGCCGAAAGGUCUGGGUAAUCUCCAAAUUUCGUCGUGAUGGGGGUAGAUUAUUGCAAUUAUUAAUCUUCAACGAGGAAUGCCUAGUAAGCGCAAGUCAUCAGCUUGCGUUGAUUACGUCCCUGCCCUUUGUACACACCGCCCGUCGCUCCUACCGAUUGAAUGGUCCGGUGAAGCGUUCGGACCGUGGCCUUUGGACGGUUCGCCGUCUGUUGGCUGCGGGAAGUUCGUUAAACCUUAUCAUUUAGAGGAAGGAGAANUCGUANCA
rnacentral:rRNA from 1 species